AACCUUACCAGGUCUUGACAUCCCGAUGCUAUUUCUAGAGAUAGAAAGUUACUUCGGUACAUCGGUGACAGGUGGUGCAUGGUUGUCGUCAGCUCGUGUCGUGAGAUGUUGGGUUAAGUCCCGCAACGAGCGCAACCCCUAUUGUUAGUUGCCAUCAUUCAGUUGGGCACUCUAGCGAGACUGCCGGUAAUAAACCGGAAGAAGGUGGGAUGACGUCAAAUCAUCAUGCCCCUUAUGACCUGGGCUACACACGUGCUACAAUGGCCGGCACAGCGGGAAGCGAGGGGGCGACCUUGAGCGGAUCCCUCAAAGCCGGUCUCAGUUCGGAUUGCAGUCUGCAACUCGACUGCAUGAAGUUGGAAUCGCUAGUAAUCGUGGAUCAGCCAAGCCGCGGUGAAUACGUUCCCGGGCCUU
rnacentral:rRNA from 1 species